rnacentral:rRNA from 1 species
GACGAACGCUGGCGGCGUGCUUAACACAUGCAAGUCGAACGAAGUGGCGAACGGGUGAGUAAUACGUGAGUAACCUGCCCUCCUUUUUGGGAUAAGCCUUGGAAACGGGGUCUAAUACCGAAUAAAGGGGGAUGGGCUCGCGGCCUAUCAGCUUGUGGGUGGGGUGAUGGCCUCCAAAGGCGGGGACGGGUAGCCGGCCUGGGAGGGUGACCGGCCACAGUGUGCCGGGGGUACGGCCCAGACGCGUACCGGAGUCAGCAGUGGGGGAUAUUGCACAAUGGGCGAAAGCCGGAUGCCGCGACUCCGCGUGGGGGAUGAAGGCUUUCGGGUUGUAAGCCUCUUUCGCUAUCGACAGGGUAGGUGGAGAAGAAGCGCCGGCUAACUACGUGCCAGCAGCCGCGGUAAUUC